UGGUAAUAUACAUGUCGACUACGCAGGUAAUCGCGUUCGACGAAGAAGAACGCAUACUAAUCAUUUCGUAUAUUAAUCCCGCGUGUUUUACGAUGAUGUCCCGCGUGUGUCUGCAUAUGCCAUUCGAUUUUCAGGUUUGACGCCAUCUAGCUGGGUGGCUUGGUGGUACGAAUUAACAAAAUACGAGUUACUUCCUUAUAAGUGUAAUUUAAUUAACCUUGGCAUAUGCAUAUAUAUAUAUAUAUAUAUAUAUAUAUAUAUAUAUAUUAUUGUGUAUAUUCGUAUGUAUUAUUAUAAAGGUAUAUUUGUGUAUAUUCGUAUGUAUUAUUAUAAAGGUAUAUGUUUUGUUAUGUUGAAAAGCAUGCAUUGCCAUAAGUCACUGGCGCACCCACGACACCAUAUAUGCAUUGUCGUGACUGGGAGAGGGGUCUCUAUAAACAUAAAUGCCGUUGGGAAAAUAUGUUGACCGCACUACAUAGAUAAUUUUAUACCUUGUUUUAUUUCUCAGUCUAAUGCUGCUUGUUUGUUUUUAUGACAAUUGCGCGGAUAAUUGUGAAGACGUUUUACAGGGAAAAUCGGAAGUAUGAGCAGAUACAUGUUUGCUUGGAGUACCUAUUUUUUCUUUCUGCAGAAGAGGCUGCUAUCUACUUUGCUCUGACGCGGUAUUGACGACGCUAUAUACUUUGACGACGACGCCACCAUGUAAUACCCCAGAAAAACGUAUACAGUGAACUAAUGGGGUGAAACUUAUUUAAUCGUAUGUUUAAUUAUUAUAUAUAGUUAUUUAUUUCUAUACCAAAAAAACAUAUGUGAAAGCGAACUGAAAAGAAAUUACCAAAUUAAGCGAAGAAAAAGAAGAUCUAGGUAAGAAGAGCUAUAUGUUAUAGCUAUCGACUACGAGGCCAUGAAGCCAUCUGAUCUCGCAUUUCACAUCAUUACAUUUUACAUGGAAAAGUUUGAGUAAAAAACGCAAAGGGGUCUCAACGAGCACACGCUCCGACCUCCGUCAGUCGCCUUGCAUGCAGUAGGUCGUUAUAAAGCUAUAUAUAUAUAUAUAUAUUAUAAUGAUAUUUGAUUCGUUAGGGAAUAACCAACGGGAAAAAGUAAUAACUAAUUUACAAACUAGUAAGUGUGAAGUAUACCAAACAGACAGCAUGCGGAUUGAACAGCAUGACUGCAGUAAACAGAGGAUGACAGAGUUGUGGCAAGGUCAACAAUUGAAACGAGUACUCAAACUACCGACUACGAAGCCAUGAAGGCGCAUAUGAUAUUCUUUCAGUCAUUAAAUUUUUGUUUCCUUAAUUUACUGCAAUGGUUGAAUAUGUGCUAAAAUGUUAUUAACUGUUUUUUUAUUUCAAACCAUCCUUGGAAUCGCAUUUGCAUGGUUGUUUCUGACCCAAUCGGGGUUUUUGAAUUACUCCAAUUUGCUAAACUCGUUUACGUUUUCAUUAUUUUUAAGAAAGUUUAAAAACGUAAAAACGAAAAGACGUAUUCUCACGCAGAAGAGACGUAUAAAGGCAGUGUGCAUUAUUUUAAAAAAGUUUAAGAAUGUGCGACUGGGUCUUCGGGCACACGAAAAGAGCCACCGAGGAGUUGUUGCGAGCCUUAGGGGAGUGGGUCCCUGACAAAUCAAACAUCCCCCCCCCCCGCCAAAAAAAAACUAUCGAAUCGAUGUUGGCGGAGCUGAAGCAAAGGUAACAAUCAACAAUAUUUAUUUUAUAUUAAUUUUAGGUCUACAACCUAUUUAUACGGAGAAGGUUUUCAAAUUAAGGACAGGUAAUGUAUAACUGCAGAACACUAUAAAUGACGACUUAACAUUCGCCGACAAAGUGCGCAUCUUUUUAUAUUCACCAUAUAAAAACGUACCACAGCAGAGAUUAAGUGCGUGACGUAUAUUGUUCGUGUUUGUGACGUUCACACCACAAUUUUUCAUGAGUAAUUAAUUACUUAUUAAUAUGCCUCAUGUGUGCCUGUAAAAGCUUAGAAUCACUGACCCCACCUCUACCACAUGUUGAUACCAAGGACACCAAUGACGUGGCAAUAUCACCCAUGAUGAUAUUGAUGAUGAUGACGUUAUGAUUGAUGAUGAUGACGUUCACCCAUGAUGACGUUACUCUCCUGACGAUGACUGAAAUAUAGUCGAAACGUCGUUAAAAUUAAAGCUACAAAAUGAGGUGUUUCAAUAACUGUUUUUUUUUUAGACCGAAAAUUAUCCUAUAGAUCAGAACGUUGACGAAAUGGUACGAAAGUAAUAAUUUGCCAUUGGUUCUGUACAGUCUCAGGCGUUGAUUGUGCAGAAAUUUGAAACAAAUUGUGUCUAACACAAUGUUUGGUUAUCUUUUAGAUUAAGGGAUCAAAUUUAAUUUUUUGUCCAAAUUCGGAAGAGAAGUAAGAACAGAAAAUUUACGAGUGUAAAAGAGCACAUACUUCUUGAAUAAAUAACAUAUAGCCUACAUUGCCUCAAACUAAUUGUUACCUUUGAAUUAUCUUUUUAUAUUUAGUGAAUAGCCCAUUGAAUAUUAUUUCGAUACUCUUUAUAAAAGCACCAAAAACCAAUUGAAGGUAUAUACAUGAAAUAGGCAUUCACCAUUAAUUGUAACACUUAAAAAAGCAUUAACUUGAGUUUUUCCAUGAAACGAAACGUUUACGGAGCGCUCGAGAUUUAUUUUGUAUUUAUUCUUGAAAUUUAAACGUAUCUACGCAGUCGUUAUUUUAAUUUUCUUACAGGCAAACAUAAAAUUGAAACACUUUGAUGAUGAAAUGGAGAAGGUAAUGUAUACCUGCAGAACACUGUAAAUGGCGAUCUGAAUAUUAACACUGGCUGAUAGCUGCAAAGUUCCCGAUUCUUUACGCGACGCCAUCAGCAUUCUCAUCUCCGGCUUUAUAUGUUCAAGAACUAGCUGACCAAAUACUGUUUAAUUUUGUAUUUGUACGCGACAAAGGGAGAUAGAAAUUUCAAUUUAUUAGUUUCCUCCAUCCAAGUCUGCAUUUUUUAUAACGAUGGUGAUCCAUUAUUCUUCAAAUUUAGGGGUACUUAUACGCAGUCUUUAUUUUAAUUUUCUUACAUGCCUACAUGAACCUUACUGCACAUUAUCAAAAACGUUAUCAUGUAGCUAUUUUCAAAUACGUUGAAAAGAGAAGCCAUUCACACAUGAUGAAUUAAUGAUGCAUAUUGUCAACUUUUGCAUCUUAAUUUGGCAUUGAUUUCGAUAACCGUUUAUUUUGUACUUAUUUUUUAUGUAUUGUUCAAAUUAAUUUAGGGAUUUUUACGCGGUAUUUAUUUUAAUUUUUACAGGCCAAUACUUUCCUAAAUGAAGAAGUAGUGACAAAGCUGUAUACUCUCCAUAGUAUAUUUAUAUUUGACAAAAGUAGCUAUAAAAUUUCAAUUUAUUAGUCUGCUCCAAGCCUGCAUUUUUUUAUAACGAUGGGACGUGAUCCCCUCAUCUCAUUCAAUCAUGCUUGCUGCAGUCACAAUGUUAUUGCGUUAAAAUUUCCAGCUACUAUAUAGUUACGUAAGGCAAUAUUGGGACGGGGGGGGAGGAGAAAUUGAUACAUAAAGAAAAAAUGCUCAACGUGUUCCUUGCUUUUCAAGAGUAUAGCAGUAGGAAGAUGACAACUGGGCCCUCCCGGAAAGUAAAAAAGUGACUUUGCGUUCUGAUCAAGUCUUACCAGCACACAGGUCUUUCAAUAUCUUCACUUAUAUAACAAUUUUAUUUCAUAUGCAUGUCUGCAUGUCCAAAACCCAUACAUGAUCAAGUUUUUAACCCUGUUGAUAUUUGAGUUGUACAUGCAUGGAUGUCAACAAACGGGGGGUGAUUCAAUAACUGUUUAUUUUAGUCGGAAACUGUUUCAGGAAACGCCAAGACAGAAAAUUUGGUACGAAACAAUAAGUAAUAACUUGUCAUUGGUUCUAUAAAGUCUCAGGCGCUGAUUGUGUAGCACAAUGCUUGGUUAUCUUUUAGAUUAUAAUUAAGCAGUUAGCUAUGGUAUAUGAACCAAACAGAAAUGAACUGUAAAAACAGAACAUUUACGAGUAUAAGAGAACACAUACUUCUUGAGUAAAUAACAUAUACAUUGCCUUAACACGGAGGAAGUAUAUCUUUACUCUUUGGCCCUAACCAGACUCAGCCACUGAGCCACGCAUGCGAGUAUGCCACCUGUUGCUGUUUAAUUUAAAAAUGCAAACGAAUAUGGCGAAAAUAACUACGCAAAACAUGUGCAACAUUUUCAACAAAAAAUCACGACACACAGCUCAAAAUGCUCUUAUCGCAUAUAAAGUUUACAUUUUCGAGACGACUUGCUAAAAGACAAAUAGUCUGAUUACUAUCACUUGGUGUUGUGUGGCUUGUCAAGGGCUGUUUAAAUACAGCAUAUAUAAAGGUAUAGUAUACGACAUGCAACAGCAAUUUUAUAAAUUUGUAUUCCCACUCCUUAUAUCAACAAAUAUAGAAUCGCACGUAUAUUACGCAAUCGAACUGGAAACCAUGGAAUCGAGAAGUGAGUAAAGAUGAGUAGUCUACGAAAACAAAAAGAAUCGCACAUGCGCAGAACGGAUUGUAACCCGUCUUUAAACUAAUUGUCACCUUUGAAUUAUCUUUUUAUAUUUAUAGUAUUAGUACGAUUGCGGCCGCUUUCGAGCACGUUUAUGGAAGCGCAACUAAACUGUCGAAGGUAUAUAUACAUGAAUGAGACAUUCACCAUUGUAAAAAUUAGAAAAAGUAUUAACUUGGGGUUUUCCAUAACACGAAACGUUGACGGAAAGCGCUCGAGAUUUAUUUUGUAUUUAUUUUUCAAAUUUUAGGCGUGCGGUCUUUAUUUUCUUACAGGCCAACGUUAACCUUACUGUACAUAAUGCAUUUUCGAGUGGGUUGAAAAGAGACGUCAUUCACACAUGAUAAAUAAUACAUAAUACAUAUUCAACUUUUGAUUGGCAUUGAUUUCGACAACGUGCGAAGGCCCUGGGUACGAGGUUGUGCAUUCGAAUUCUGGCCACCUCAUUGGCGAGGUUGUGUGAUCCGAUCCGUGAACAUGCCUCAAAAAUAUUGCUUUAAAAAUUUGAAACAAAUUGUGUCUAAUGCAAUGCUUGGUUAUCUUUUAGAUUAAGCACUUGGCUAUGGUAUAUGAACCAAACAAAAAUGUACCGUAAGAACAGAAAAUUUUCUUAAAGGCAAACUUCAACUUACAGCUCAAUGCUGAAUAUAGUAUAUCAAUCAAUUUGUUGAAGGUAUAUAGGCCUAAUUGAGCGAGACAUCGCAGCGCGCUGAGUUUCAUGGAAUAGUAGUAACUUGUCUAUAGUUCUGCAUACAAUAUCAGGCACGGAUUGUGCAGCAAUUUUAAACAAUUGU